CAUACAUAGACAUGAGUGUGCCUACUCAGCUCCUGGGGUUGCUGCUGCUAUGGCUUACAGGUGCCAGAUGUGACAUCCAGAUGACUCAAUCUCCAGCCUCCCUGGCUGCAUCUCUGGGAGAAAGUGUCACCAUAACAUGUCAAGCAAGUGAGAACAUUUACAAGUAUUUAGCAUGGUAUAAGCAAACAGCAGGGAAAUCUCCUCAGCUCCUUAUCUAUGGAGCGACCAACUUGGCACAUGGUGUCCCAUCGAGGUUCAGUGGCAGUGGAUCUGGCACACAGUAUUUUCUCAAGAUUAACAAUUUUCAGACUGAAGAUGUUUCAACUUAUUACUGUCAAAGUGCUUUAAAUACCCCUUCCACAGUGAUUUAUCCCAUGACGUAAACCACCCAUAGAAGCAGAAGUGAGAAUGCUGGCUGGUGUUUCCAGCUGCUCAACUGUUAAGUGUUUCACUUUGUGAGGGCUUAAAAUUCAAUGGAA